rnacentral:lncRNA from 1 species
UGCUGGGAUAAAAGGCGUGCGCCACCGCCACCGCCCAACGGGCGAUGUCUUUAAAACACAGAACAAGCCAUGCUCUCUUGGACAUAGUCCUUGGUGUGAGUCGGGCGGGGCAGGGGACCUUUACUCUCAGGCUGAGGGCCUCACUUCCAUCCUGCACACUAUGGGGAGCUAAGGUUCUGUCUGAGAAAUGACACAUCCAGAUCAAGUUGGAGGAGUAGAUCUCAGUUCAAGUGAAGAAUGUUCUGGAGAGGCUCAGCGGAGCCAGGGGCUGAUGAGGUCACCUGCAUGAGGGGUUUCGACACAUUACAGUAGAAGGUGAAAGGUUUAACCUGGUGUGGCCAGUAAUCCCAGCACCUAGGAGGGGGAGGAGGAAAGUCAGGAGUUCAAAGCUGCUCUGGGCUGUGAUGCGGGUACAGGGCCAGUCUUGCUUACAGGAGAGCCUGUCUCAAAAAGCCAAAGGAGAGAAGAUGAAAGAUGGGCCCUGAAGGGAAACCAGGCUUUGUUGGUGAUCUACAAACUGGCAGUAAAGACCUAGCGGGGGACCGAGUAGGGCAUGGCAAGGCUGCAGAGGGAAGUGAGCUGAGCACAGCCGCUGGCAGGGAGAGUGGGGAGGCACACAUGCUCACAAGUCAGAGUGCCAGGUCUGCAGGGAAGAGGAGACCAGGGAAAUACCAGAUGCCUCAGGGGCAAAAGGACCCCCCACCCCCACCCCCCAAGACUGAGAAAGAGCACCUGAACGCAAAGAUGAGUGGAGAGGACAUGAAGCCAAGGACAGCACCAUGCAAGGAGCAGGUGGGCAGGCGGGCAUGUCACAAAGGAACCAUGCAGGGUAAAGGCAUGGCAAGCGCUCAUUGGCUCAUUGGGUUCAGAGCUCUGCAAGGUGUUCCUGCUACAGCUGGAUCAAACAGUCAGCAUGGAGGGAGAACAGGCCUGCCAGGAGGAAGUCCCCAGGGAGGCUGAAACCUGGAGAGGAUUCUGUCCUUUGGCAGCUGAAAGCCCAGCAGUAAGCAACGGCCAGCUGCAGGCUGAGCAGCAGGUGAGCUGCCCAGAAAAGCAUGCUGGCCAGACGUCCCUCUGUCCAGCAUGGCUGAGCACACCCCUGACAGGGAAUGGCAGCUGCCCAGACGCUUCAUAACUGCAUGCCCCUGAAAGGGGUGGGACUGGAGCCCAGUUGUGGGAAGGCUGUUGGCCUUCCGGGCUGUGGUCUCUCUCAGGAACUGGGCAGGGCCAGGACGUGGAUGGAAACCAGGUGGAUUCCUGAGACCCCAUCCUCUGGACGCUUGUGGUUUCCGUCCUUGCUCAGGCUCACCUGUCUCAGGAAGGGAGCCCUGCUGGUUUUCAGGGAGGAGAGAGGGAUGGCUGUGGCAUCUGGGACCUGAUGGCUUGUUCUGUUUUUGUUUUUGAAGUGUUCUCUUGAGGCUGGUUUUGAACUAACUCCAGGGCUCAAGCC